UAUACAGUGGCGCCUGCGUGUUUGUUCCCCGAGUUUGCGGGAUAACGCGAGCAACUCGCGUGUUGAAGGCGAAAAGUGAAACGUGUUGCACGGUUAGAAACGCGUGCAUAAACGAGAAAUAGUUAUUGCGCAUGCUCAGCGUGCAGCGUGCGCUGCCGCGCAAAUAAAUGUUCUCAUGCGCAUGCCCAGCGUGCCAAACCGAGAAGGUUAAAUGCGCAUGCCCAGCGUGCAAAACCGAGCAGGUUAAAUGCGCAUGCUCAGCGUGCAAUGGAUUUAAGUGUUUUAAAAAGUAUAUGGAUUCAUCGUCUUACGGUUCUAGUUUGAAAGAUGAUAUUUCUUUCAAAUUUUAUUUUUGAUUUGAAAUUUAACUUUUUGAUCAUUUCCGUAAAGAAUUUUUUGUAAAUAAGUAUACCCGGAAAGUAGUGUAGACAGGAUCUAGUAGAUGUUGUCUACAUCAUAAAAAGAGGGCAGUUCCACUGCAAUAUUAAAGCGGCGACACUGAGAUUCUAUAUCGCCAAGAAUUUGGAUUCGCCUUCCAUCAAUGUGUGUGCCAUUCCACAUCUGAGCACUGUAAGGUCUGGCAGCAAAAUAAAGAUAUAUUCAAAUGGAUCUUGUGUGACAUCAUACUAGAAAAGGGUCAUGUAAACGUAACAAAAAGUCAUGCGAAUGGACAUCAAAAUGUUGAAAAAGAUCGGUAUUUGAGACUUAAAUCUUCAGGAUAUAACUUCAUAAAACUGGCGGAUAAAUCAAACUGUGAAGUUCUUUCGAAUGGCGAGUAAAACAGUUGUGUCUCUUCGUAGGAACGAUGAUACAAUAUUUACGUAUGCAUCAAAUGAUGCUGUUCAAGGUAACAAGAAGAAGUUAACAUUUGGCAGUGUGAGAAAGGAAAGGAAAUUUACUUCUGCAUGACGGGAAAAUGAUGUUUGCAUGCAUGUUUUAUCGGAGGCAGCUGCAGAACCACAAACAGGAAACUCUUUUUGAUAUUAUGUUGUGAUAGACUGUUUGACGGUUUUCGGCCCGCUUUGGCGAGACGGUAUUACGAUAGUUUUAUACGAAAAUCUGCGAUAAAGUCUGGAAAUCUCGCUUGUGGAGAGAAGAAACUCGAUUAUGAUGUUCCCGCUAAGGAAAAAAAUCUCGCGUCGAACCAGAAGCUGUGUGAAUACAUCCCCGAGAAGAAAGUCACUGCGUCGGGCCAGCUGCAGUUUUUUACCAUCAUCUGAAGAUAGUAUCUUUCAGGAAUAAAGUCUUUUCGCUGGACCAGCUACUCUGCCUAACUGUGACCUCUUUUUCUCUGUCUCUCCUUCCGGUGGUGCUCAAACUCCGGAGCUCUCGAUCCAUAGGCGGACGCCCUACGACUGAGCUAUCAUGGCACACGAUUCCGUUAACAGUGCUGUGAUUGUGUCUAAUUGUAGAGCGAUGUUUAAAAAUGUUAAAAUAAUUAUUUACGACGUUAAGUCAGCAACGGCCGCAUACUAGCGUUUUUAUAAAGCUAAGCUUGUUUACAUUAAAUUCAUUUACAAUUAAUGUGCGAAGCCACUGCUGCAGACGACAAUUUAUAUUGGAAGCGAGACAAGAACAGACGAAUACAAUACAUAUCACUUCGCGCUAAGGUAACCACAGAGACAGUUUGCUGAGGUAUUGACUCACUAAAUACUCUAUAUGAAAUCGGGGGACUUUGAGCUGCUGAAGCGCGCACUGAACAAUGCACACACCUCGGGCCAUUUGAAAGGUCUGUGACUUAGUUAUUUUUUCUUGAGGAAUGUUGUCAGUGCAGUAUACAAAUUGAAAGAAUGACUUAUUUUCCGUGACAAGUUCUGUUGUUUUUUUACGACGAAAAUGCUACCAACAUAUCAAGGAUAUCUGUUGAAUAAUUUGAGCCAAAAAGAAUGCAUCACAAGAAAGGAAUGUAUUUCUACAGAGACAAAACUGCGAACUAUUAGAAACCGUUAUUUUCUGUCAUUUUUUUCGCGCCAUUUUCCUAUUUGUUGAUAUCUGUAUACCUACUGAAUUGUAAUUUUGCACUUUUGAAACAAAUAUUUUUAAAAUGCAGAAUUUAAUUGAAUCCUGAUUUUUGAAAACAAAGGACAUUCAGCUAUUAAAAUGAUAAGAUCUCGUA